UACGUAGGGGGCGAGCGUUGUCCGAAGUUACUGGGCGUGAAGCGCGCGUAGGCGGGUUGGCAAGUCUGCUGUGAAAGCCCGGAGCUUAACUCCGGAGGGUCGGUGGAUACUGCCAAUCUUGAAGGGACUAGGGGGAGAUGGAAUUACCGGUGUAGCGGUGAAAUGCGUAGAGAUCGGUAGGAACACCAGUGGCGAAGGCGGCUUACUGGUCCGGUUCUGACGCUGAGGCGCGAAAGCGUGGGGAGCAAACAGG
rnacentral:rRNA from 1 species